UCUUCCGUAGUAUAGUGGUCAGUAUAUGAGCUUGUCAUCCUUCAGAUUUCGCUCGGGACCCGGGUUCAAUUCCCGGCGGGAGAG
rnacentral:tRNA from 1 species